rnacentral:rRNA from 1 species
UACGUAGGGGGCGAGCGUUGUCCGGAUUUAUUGGGCGUAAAAGGCUUGUAGGUGGCCACGCGAAGUCGGAUGUGAAAUCUCACGGCUUAACUGUGAGCGUGCGGGCGAUACGGGCAGACUGGAGUACUGCAGGGGAGACUGGAAUUCCUGGUGUAGCGGUGGAAUGCGCAGAUAUCAGGAGGAACACCGGUGGCGAAGGCGGGUCUCUGGGCAGUAACUGACGCUGAGGAGCGAAAGCGUGGGAGCGAACAGG